UCGAGUCCUGGCUCGAGUCCUGACUCGAGUCCUGGCUCGAGUCCUGGCUCGAGUCCUGGCUCGAGUCCUGGCUCGAAUCCUGACUCGAGCAAUA
rnacentral:miRNA from 1 species